AUUGAACGCUGGCGGCAUGCCUUACACAUGCAAGUCGAACGGUAACAGGUCUUCGGAUGCUUACGAGUGGCGGACGGGUGAGUAAUACAUCGGAAUGUGCCCGAUCUUGUGGGCUAAAGUGGCGAGAGAUCUGCUACUACCGCAUACGAUCUAAGGAUGAAAGCGAGGGCGCUUCCGCCCUCGCGCGGGUGGAGCGGGCGGUGGCAGAUUAGGUAGAUGGUGGGUUAAAAGCUCACCAAGCCGACGGUCUGUAGCCGGUGUGAGAGGAUGAUCAGCCACACUGGGACGGAGACACGGCCCAGACUCCUACGGGAGGCAGCGGUGGGGAAUUUUGGACAAUAGGCGAAAGCCUAAUCCAGCCAUGCCGCGUGCAGGAUGAAGGCCUUCGGGUUGUAAACUGCUUUUGUACGGAACGAAAAGCCUCUUUCGAAUAAAGAGGGGUCAUGACGGUACCGUAAGAAUAAGCACCGGCUAACUACGUG
rnacentral:rRNA from 1 species